UUCCUUUUUGGAAGCUCAAGGAGGUCAUUUGUUUCCUUGUCUUUUCCAGCUUCUAGGGGUCGCCCAAGUUCCUUGGCACUUCCUCCAUCAUUAAAGCCAGCCAUAUUGCAUCCCUCUGACUCUUCUUAUGUAGUCAGAGCUUCCUCUGCCUCUCACCUCAGAAGGAAAAGAUUCUGUUAAGAACUCAUGUGACUAGGUUGGGCCAGAUAAUUCAAGCCAAUCCCCUGUCUCAAGGCCCUUAACAUGUUCAAAGUCCCCCUUUCCAAGUAAGGCAAUGUAGUCACAGUUUCCAAGGAUUUGGAUGUAGUUAUCUUUGGGGGACCAUUAUUCUGCCUCUGUGCAUGAAAGGAUGAAUAAAGUUAACAGCAACAGCAGUUACUGCCAUUGAUUUUCUUUGAUGCCUUCUUUGUGCCCUUUACAAAAGUGACCAUGUACGAUGCAUUGUAAGCAGUCACUAAGUAGUUGUUGAGAAAAUGAAUGAAUGGAUUGAUUCUUGUCUUUAUUCGUCAGAUGGUAUUAUUAGAGCAUUUAGCAGAAGUGGGAAAGCACUUUGGGAUCGGUUACUAGUGGAGAAGUGGAGAGGUUUAGUAGGAACUGACUGAUACUUAUAAGCAAAUCCAUGGCUUGGUGUAACAUUUGCCAGAGGCAUGAGGCUCCAGUAACUUAAAACUAAACAUCAGGUGUUGGAAUAAACUGUUCAUACUCAAAAGUCAAAGUGCAAACCUGUACACCUGUUCCCUGAAGGAAACAGAUAGCAGAAGGUAUAUAACUCCUUCAACCCUGUAAAAUAUACUGGGAGGGGAUGAAACAGAGUUCAGCACACAGAGGGCACCUGGAGUAACCAGUGUCAUGAACGAUUCUUCUCAGGCCCAGUCAGUGGAAUUAUGAAACUUCCUUUAACUCUUGGGGUUUGAUUGGCAUGAAUCACAUGUGUCUCUUUGAGAGUUAAUGGAGCACACACCUGACUUUGUCCCUGUUUCAGAGUUAGUGUCCCAAAGAGGAGAAGUCUUGAGUUUUAGGAAAAGAUCUGCAUUCAAAUCCUGCAUAGCUGGGUAACAUAAGGUAUAUGUAAAAUAGAGGUAAUAAUAUCCAACUUAUGGAUUGAUGGAAGGAUUAGAGAUAUGUUUAUAAGGCCUUUAGCAUAGGAACUAUGAAUAUAGUAGGCACCCAAUAAGUAUUAUUAUUACUAUUAUUAUAAAAUCUCUCAGCCAGCUUCUCAUUUUGCCAGUGAUGUGUUAGACAAAAGUGUUACUCAUCUCACAUAAGAGUUUAGGCUCUGGAUUUACUCAUCUAUUUAUUCCUUCAUUUUAUUUUUUUACAUAUUCCAAAUUCCAUAUUGCUAUUAUGCCCCAUGCUAUGGGCUGUGAAUACCAUAAUGAACAGAAUAGUUAUGGUGCUUUCAGUCUAGCGGAAGGGACAGGCCAUUAAGUAAAUAAAUUCAAGCUCAUUUCCUGGCUCCGUAACUUACCAGCUGUGUGGGUCUGGGCAGAUGACUAUACCUCUCUGAAUCUUUACUUCCUCAUCUGUAACUGAGGUUAACAGGACUUACCGUGAAAUGUUGUUAUAAAGAUUAAAUUACAUAAUGCUCAUAAAAGUUUAGUAUAGUCCUUGGCACGUAAAAGUGAUUAUAUUGUUAUUAUAACUUUUUUGGGGGGGAGGGAUGGUAUUUAAAGAUGUGUACUGUUUUUGAUAAGGUUAGUUACGUUCCUUAAAGGGAAAGCACCAAGUAGCAUAUACACUUUUAAAAAGUGAAGCUGUGUCCUCAGCUUUCCUCCUUGAUUUUUUAUGCUCAGUUUUUCAGAGAAUACUUUUACUGCUAAUACUAUUGUUUUUGUCCCUACAAGUAUUGAUACUAUUGUUAUUACUACUGUGCUUAGCUUUUACUAAGUUUCUGCUCUGUGUCAGUCACUAAUCUAAUCACAGUACCUGCAUUAUGAUAUUUAACCCACCUCCCAGCUCCGUAGUGUGGAUUAGGUGCUGCUGAAGAACCCGUUUCACUGCUAAGGAAACAGACACAAGACGGUUAAACCCUAGAUCUACAACAAGAGAAGGAUGGCCCAGGAUUCUAACCCAGGUGGUCCAGCUGCAGUGCCCGCCAUUCUUUGGAAGGAGACAGGUUGUGGGAUAACUUUCCAGUGUGGUAAAUUUCAUGAUGGAGGAUAAUUUGAAAAUAGAAGAGGAAUACAGGGCUGAGAUUCCACUUCUCUGCUCUACAAUAAAGGAUAUCACAUAUUUGCUCAAAUAUUCAUUCUUUGAUCAAACACUUACCAAGUGGCUACCAGGUAUGGGAUGCUGUUAGAAGAAAUUAAGCUUGGUGUCCUGAAGGACUUCUCACUCCAUUGUAGGGGCAGGAGUGACUACAAAGGGGUUGUUAAAAUAGAAGGUGUUGAGGAUGCUGCCUGGUCUAACAGAGGGCUUAUGUAUGUGGUACCUAGGAGAGUUCAGGACAUUUCACCCAGCCUGAGGUGGCUGGGAAAUGUUUCCUAAAAGAAAUGUAUCCUGAGGAAAAUUGAAGAUUUGCUUACCAGAGCCUUAGAAAAUUAUUUACUAAGAUCUGUGGAUGAAUGUGUAUCAUAAUGGUUAAGAGCAUAGGCUUUGGAGCUAAAAUGGGCUACUUUCAAACCCUGCCUCUACCAUUUUCUAACUCUUUGACCUUUUUCUCAAUGAGCCCUUAGUGUCAUCAUCUGAAGGUUGGGAACAAUCAAGAGUACCUCUUUCUUUGGAUAGUAGUGAAGACUACAUAUCAAGCUGUUGGUAUAGUCCUGGGUGUAAGUUAUAGAAGACCUGCAUUCACUGAGCACUUGCUGAUUACCAGCAACUUCCCAGCAAUUAACAUCAUCAUGUAUGUCUCUCAAUAGGUUUGUUCUAAGAGCUUGCCCAAGGAUCUGGACUAGGAUGAGGAGAAUGAAGCACCUAGAGGGCAGAAUUUAAGGAAACAUUCACCAUCAAGGUCAUGCCAGUUGCCCAACCCUGAGAAGGAGUGCUUCCUAAAAUUUUGCUUUUGGAUGCCUCACUGUUCUCACCCUGUCUGGGUUCUGCUGAUCCCGGAGAACUACCUCUUGGGUUUAAUCAUCUGUGCCCUCAAGUCUGGACUACAAGCAGACCUCAGGGAUACUGUCCAUGUCCUGUUCUGUUGCAGACGAUCUGGUGACCCAGAGAAAGCAAAUGCCGCAAUAAACUCGGUGUUCAGUGACUUCAUGUUGGCAGCUCAGAGGCGACCAGGCUGGAGUAUUUACACUGUGGAAAUUGGCAGAAGCAACAAAGAUGACAGGUAUUCUGUUCUGUUGCUCAACCAAGAGACUUAGUUGGAAAACAAGAAAUUCCUGGAAUCACUACUUGCCUAAAGCUUUUUCUAGCUGGAGUCCGUGCUUGAGGCUCAAAGGUUACAGUACCACGAGUUGAGGAACUCUGAAGGCUGUGAAAUCAUCCGCCCAAAGAUGCCAGAAGUUCCAAUCAGGACCUUCUAAAUCUGAAUGCUUGGAGAUGGAGCCCAGCUAGGUAGCACGGGCAGUCCUUCCCUGGCUGGCGAACUGAGGAGCCAACAUUGAGUCCGAUUCCUGAUCUUGUACUCUGGACACUUACCCCUUGGCAACAAGAACUAAAGUCUACUGCCCAGAUCCCUCUCACACUCCAAAAUCUGAAUAAGUCCUGCAAGCUGAAGCCCAGAGACUUGAUAUUAACCUCAAAGGACUCUUAUGCAGCCAUUUGUGCAAGGACCUGAAUUCUCUCUGGUCAAUAGUCUGGACCAUUAAGGUAGUCCAGUCAUGCAUGCACUUGUACUAGAGGUAACCAGUGCUGUGGACAGCAUCACCCAGAGCAUCAGUGUUCUAGCUCAAGGGCAUCAAGAAUGCAUAACUGCACAAUCGGAAGAUUUUCCUCCACAGAGUUCUCGGAAUCCAGUGAACUAGUUAUCCUCAUGGUUCCAUUUCUGGCUUUCUAUUGGAAUACAACCUUUUAUAUUAAUUUUUCUUCAUUUAAUGCAUUCCUCUUUUAAGAUGCCUGAUUUCCAAACUCUAAGAAAACUGACUUUUGCCACCACCUCUCAACAAAUGGUUCAACUGGGUUUGAAGAAAUGCAAACAAGAAUCCUUCAAGACACGAUUUCCUAGACCCUGUUUUUGAUCACCUCUGAAAUGUUCAGUGACAAAUUAUACUCAUUCAUCUUGAACAAAAGGGAAGACUGACAGUGUUGAACUUUGCCUGAGUCUUGUGCUCCAAGAAACCAGACACAGUUGAAAAUUCCUCCCUACCCUUUGAGGUUCUGAGAAAGAGCUGUCCUCAAGGACCACUCUCAGCCUUAGGACCUCACCUGUUCUGAGCUAAGACUUACCUUCAUCCUGCCUCAGUGACUCAGAUAAGACUCAUCUCCAUCCUUCCUCGUGAUUCCCAUAAGACUAGGGGUAACUCCCUUGUUUGCUUGUCUCUGUAAGACCCGAUGGCUCCUUCCUUUUCUUUGAGAUGUUUCUGAUUGAGAGCAUUAUCCUGAUUGCAGUACGCUGAAUAAAAUGAUUUCCUUGAGUGUCUUGUGCAUUUUGUCUUUCACGGUUAAAAAAAGAAAAGAAAAGAAAAGAAAAUGUUGUCAAAACACAUAUGUGACCACAUACAUCCUGGAGGACGCAGCCUAUACAGAGAGGGCUGAGGGGAGAAGUUCAUGGUAAGGUGGCUGCUCACAAUCCCACAGAACUUGUCAGGCAGACAGUAGUCCUCCCUGUAGUGCAGUCUAAUGAAAUAAUUGUCCACUAUCUCAGCUGGGGCCUUGUAGACACCUCCUCAGAAACUCUGGUCCUCAUUAAUUUUAUCUCUUCCUACAAAACCCAUUUAUUCCUGCCCAGAGAAAAAUGGGACAUGAAAAUUUCCUGACUGCCUGGCUAUUUAUUUUCUGCAGCUGAAAUUAAAUCACUUGUCAAACUUAAAAAAAAAAAAAAGGAGAUAAACUUGUUCACUUACUGUUGCUUAUCGCUAAAAAGAUGUCAAUCUGCAUCCGUUGUAUAGGUCGGUUCCUGGUGUUACCAUGUCAGACAGACCACCCCCCCCAACUUCUGCCUUCUGUAUUUUAUGAGCACUGGGAGUAAGAAAAGAUAGGCAGAUAAAAGAGAAGUGGGAAAAAUGUAAAAUUAGAGUAAAAUAUGUAAAUUGGAAAAACCAAAGAACUUCCUUCCAUAAUUGGAGAUCUCAUCAUAAAGGAGACCUUAUCUUUGCAAUCUACUUUAUCUUCAAAUUAAAGGUACAGAGAGACUAGAUGUCCCUUUUGACUAAUAAUAUAAAAUCCAAGUUGCUUAUGUCGCUUGUGUCAUUCAAGUCCUGUUUUCAAAAAGUUGCAUCCCAGAGACUCUUAUCUUAAGAGGAUGAACUGUUACUUCUGUAGCUUUUAAUAACUGACAACUGCAGAUUUAAAUCCCAGGCUGUACAUAAACUGUCAGCCUCCAAAUUUGCCCAGACAAACAGAAUUGGAAAAAAACAAAAAUAACAUGAGGAAAAAAUGCUCUAUUAACAGCUGUGUAAAUAACAGCACAUGUUAACUAGUAAAAGGAAGCUAGCAAUCCCAGGAAGAACCAAAGAAGGAAUUCAAGUUGCUGCAAGUAGAUUUAGGAAGGUUGGCUGCCCUCUGUCUCCUUCCCAAAUUUGGUUUUCGUUCAAAGUUAUUGCAUCAAGGAGCCUGGAGGAGAACCUUUCAAAGCAAACUCUUACAUCAUUCAAGAAAAAACAAGUAUAAAGUGAAAACGUUUCUUUCCUGCCCUUUAAGGGGGAGAGAGAAAGGAAAAGAAGGCCAGUUACUACUCUUUUUGCCUCAUCAUUUGCCUGAUUUACACAUUAACUUUUGAAUAGGGCUGCAAAACUGCUUCAAGUGCAAAAACACAGUGAAGAAACUUCUUCACUCCCUUUAUGGCACC